rnacentral:rRNA from 1 species
CCUACGGGAGGCAGCAGUGAGGAAUAUUGGUCAAUGGGCGCGAGCCUGAACCAGCCAAGUAGCGUGAAUGAUGACUGCCCUACGGGCUGUACACUUCUUUUAUAAAGGAAUAAAGUGAGGCACGUGAGCCUAUUUGUAUGUACUUUAUGAAUAAGGAUUGGCUAACUCCGUGCCAGCAGCCGCGCUAAUAUGGAGGAUCCGAGCGUUAUCCGGAUUUAUUGGGUGUAAAGGGAGCGUAGAUGGGUUGUUAAGUCAGUUGUGAAAGUUUGCGGCUCAACCGUAAAAGUGCAAUUGAUACUGGCAGCCUUGAGUGCAGUUGAGGAAAGCGGAAUUCGUGGUGUAGCGGUGAAAUGCUUAGAUAUCACGAAGAACUCCAAGUGCGAAGGCAGCCUACUAAUCUGCCACUGACGUUGAGGCUCGAAAGUGUGGGGAUCAAACAGGAUUAGAUACCCUGGUAGUC